ensembl:lncRNA
GUAGGAGCAGAGCAGCAGGAGCUAGAAUACGGUAAGGACUAUCCCCUCCAGGGAAAACCAUCUCCAGACAUCAAUAGCAGGCGGCCAACACACCCAUCAUCAAGGCAAACUUCUGUUGGUGAAGACCAGAGAUUUUGGUCUAAGCAAGUUGGCCGCCUGAGAUGAGAAUACACUAAGAUGAGGAAGAUGCUGCUGUAAUUAAGGCAACACGGAACCAGAUAUGCAGUGGCCACAAGCUGGGCUAUGGAUGUCCUUCCCCACUAGUGAAUAUUCAGUCUCUUUGGAAAGAAGUGGUUCCUCCUCUGCAGAGGAAAGUGUCACAACACAGGGUGUUGCAGCUCCUCCAUCCGCACCAGCCUUGUCCCUAACGAGGGGCUGUGGAGUGACUCUGCCUCAUUUAAUAAGACCCAAGAGAGACAAGAGGGAAGGAGAGAAAGGCUUCUUGUGCACACAGAAGGGAAGUCAUGCUGGAGCUGCAUGGCAGGAACAAAGAAGUGAUUCAUAACUGAGGCUGAGGAAGAGUGUGUGAAGGGAGAGGAAGGCAGGUAUUUUUCUUACUUGUUAAAGUGAGGAGUUAAUUUAAGUCAUUGAAAUCAAUUAUUCAUUUAACUUAUUUAUAUAACUUGUUAUUUUUUAAUGUUAAUGUGUUCAAUAACACUCCAGAAAUGGGCUAAAGGUCUUACAGCAAGCAGCUGCAGAGGCUGGAUACCCAAAACUUUUGUCACGUGCUGGCUUAGGCAGGUGGUGAGUGCUGUGGUCCCUGGAAGCCUAUAGGCAGGCUCUGGUGCCUGCACAGCCUCCUAGGGUGUUCAGAAGGCUGUGUUUAUGAGUUUUUUUAAGUAGCAAAAUUUCUUGUCCUCCCAUCACUGACAUUGGGAUGGAAGAGGAGAGGUUUAUUGGCAGUCAGUAGGGGUAAUGAAAAAUCAGAAUGAUGGCGAUUUAAGAAUCGGUUUUAUGGAAAGACAAAAAGACAUGGUAGCAUGUGCAUGCAUCAAGUGGUUAGAGGCAAAGGGCUUUACAUUGUGCUUGGUGUGAUGGGUUCGAUGUGCUUCAUAAAAAAGGUCGGUAUCAUUAUCUGCAUUAGCCAAAUAGGGAAACCGAGUCAGAGUAUGUGAUUUCCUUGCAUUUAACACUAAGUCAGUGCCAAUCACAUGAACUUACUUACACAGCAUGAGGUGCAUAGCAUGGUGAAGGACUGUCAAGUACAUAAUAUGUGCAAAUUUCUCAUAUCAGGAAUCAUCUGGACAGCACAGAGAAACAAUACUCACUUUAAUCAAAUAAAUGAGCUAAAAAUACAGUAGUUAUUAAAUGCUCCUUAAUGUUAUCUCCUGGACAAAAUUGUGCUAUUCUGUAAGAAGGAAACCACUUCUCUCCAGUCUAUUACACUUCUUUGUGUUGCUGCAGCAGAGUGGAGAAAAAACUAUCUUUCAAACGUUGCCAUCUGCAGCAAGGUUUUAAAUGGUCUCUUACAAACAUUCAUUGGGAGGUAAGCAGCUACAUGGGCAUCAGUCCUCUUACGAGGGAACGACUGAUAAACGUGUCAGGACAAGCUGAGUGGAGUGAUGCCCCAGCACCUGCCCCACUGCCAAGCCAAAAUAAUGAUUUAGAUUGCCAACAGUAUCAGCAAGGUAGCAAAUAAUUUUGGGAGACCCUUAGGUAGGCUACAUUUUUCCUGAAUGGAAAAAGGGGAGCAUUUAAACUACUUGUACGUGAAUUUGGUGUUAAAUUAAAUGUAGGUAGUCAGGAAAGGAAUAAGACAUCAUUGCCAACAGAACAUCUAUUCACCAAGAAGCAAUAGCCAGGGAAGCCAGCAGAAUGUUUGCUUGCAUUAGGAAAGGGCUAGCUGAUAGUACAAUAUUGUUUUGUAGCUUUUAUAUGAAGUGACACCUGGACAUGGACGCUUUGCUCAGUUUUGCUCUCCAGCCUUAAAGAAGGAUAGGGCAGAAAUAAAAAAAGGUCUAGGGAAGGCACUGAAAAUGAUGAACAGAAUGGAAAACUGCAGUGUGUGGAGAGAUUAAAAGAUUAGAACCAUAUAUCCUAGAUGUUAGAGGAAUAAGG